UGCAUGUGAUGGUAUCCAUCGAGAUAGUUUGGGCACAUUUUUCGGUGGUUUGGCAUCUUAUAUUGAUAUUCUUAUCGUUAUGUGUUGAACUAGUUGCAGUGAAACAUGCACGUGAAGUAGGUUGGAAUAGUCUUUGGCUGGAAUGUGACUCUAUGUUGAUUUUGGUUGCUUAAGAGAAUCCAUCCUUGGUGUCUUGGAUCAUUAAAGUGUUUGUCUCGUGGGAUACUUCACCAGCUUUUGGAGGCAUCAGGAUUCUCAGCAGACCAAGAAUUCCAGUACCCUUCCCUGAUCCCUCUGGAGAUUACAUUGUUCUCAUUGGAGAUUGGUGUCUCCAGACUUAUAUGGAGACAGUAAAACGAGAUUAACUGGCUUUUGGAAAGUCCAAGGAGAUCAAAAAUCUGUUGGAUGCUUUAAUGUGCUGUGCCCGGGUUUUAUCCAAGUCCAUCAAACUGUUGGCUUUGGAACUAUCCUUGAGCCUUCUCAAACUGGAUCGACAAUAAAAUUAUAUUUAAAUUUUAUAAUCGAACAGGUA